UAGGGAAUCUUCCGCAAUGGACGCAAGUCUGACGGAGCAACGCCGCGUGAGUGAAGAAGGAUUUCGGUUCGUGAAACUCUGUUGUUAGAGAAGAACAGCGCAUAGAGUAACUGUUAUGCGUGUGACGGUAUCUAACCAGAAAGCCACGGCUAACUACGUGCCAGCAGCCGCGGUAAUACGUAGGUGGCAAGCGUUGUCCGGAUUUAUUGGGCGUAAAGCGAGCGCAGGCGGUCAAUUAAGUCUGAUGUGAAAGCCCCCGGCUCAACCGGGGAGGGUCAUUGGAAACUGGUUGACUUGAGUGCAGAAGAGGAGAGUGGAAUUCCAUGUGUAGCGGUGAAAUGCGUAGAUAUAUGGAGGAACACCGGUGGCGAAAGCGGCUCUCUGGUCUGUAACUGACGCUGAGGCUCGAAAGCGUGGGGAGCGAACAGG
rnacentral:rRNA from 1 species